AUUGUGCGACAAACUCCGUCCAGCGGGUGUCCCAUUUCACUGUACUCAUCACUGGGCAAAGUUUGUCGCAUAAC
rnacentral:pre_miRNA from 1 species